rnacentral:rRNA from 1 species
GACGAACGCUGGCGGCGUGCUUAACACAUGCAAGUCGAACGGUGAAGCGCCUUCCUUUUUGGUGGGUGUGGAUGAGUGGCGAACGGGUGAGUAACACGUGAGUAACCUGCCCCCUUCUUCUGGAUAACCGCAUGAAAGUGUGGCUAAUACGGGAUAUUCUGGGUCUGUCGCAUGAUGGGUCUGGGAAAGAUAUUGUUUCGGUGGGGGAUGGGCUCGCGGCCUAUCAGCUUGUUGGUGGGGUGAUGGCCUACCAAGGCGGUGACGGGUAGCCGGCCUGAGAGGGGGGGGGGUGCAACAGUGGGGGGAAGCCGCGCACGAGACUCAGGGGGGGGCAGGGGGGGGAGAAUGGGGAAGAGGGGGCAGGGGUCGGGAGCAGCGUCGCCGGGGGGGGGAGGGGGGCCUGGGUUUUGAGACUCUUUCCGGGGGGGGAAGCGGGUGUGCCGUUUUUGGGGGUGGUUGGAGGGGAGGUGAAAAAGAAGCCCCGGAAAACUACGGG